AUUGAACGCUGGCGGCAUGCCUUACACAUGCAAGUCGAACGGCAGCACGAGUGCUUGCACCUGGUGGCGAGUGGCGAACGGGUGAGUAAUACAUCGGAACGUACCUUAUCGUGGGGGAUAACGCAGCGAAAGCUGUGCUAAUACCGCAUACGCCCUGAGGGGGAAAGCGGGGGAUCGAAAGACCUCGCGCGAUUAGAGCGGCCGAUGCCUGAUUAGCUUGUUGGUGGGGUAAAAGCCCACCAAGGCGAUGAUCAGUAGCUGGUCUGAGAGGACGAGCAGCCACACUGGGACUGAGACACGGCCCAGACUCCUACGGGAGGCAGCAGUGGGGAAUUUUGGACAAUGGGGGCAACCCUGAUCCAGCAAUGCCGCGUGAGUGAAGAAGGUCUUCGGGUUGUAAAGCUCUUUUGUCAGGGAAGAAACACCGGCUCUAACACAGUCCGGGAAUGACGGUACCUGAAGAAUAAGCACCGGCUAACUACGUGCCAGCCGCCGCCGUAA
rnacentral:rRNA from 1 species